rnacentral:rRNA from 1 species
GCCUGCAACAUAGUGCUAAUGCAUUGAAUCCCAUUAGAAAUUUGUAGUUAAGCGUGCUCGGGCUAGAGUAGUACUGGGAUGGGUGAUCGCCUGGGAAGUCUUAGUAUUUUGCAUGCC